GGUCUUAUAUUCAUAAAAUGAUAUUAGAAUGCAAUUCUAAUGGUGUAUUAAUUUACUAAGACUU
rnacentral:tRNA from 1 species